CCAAUGAGAGGGGCUUCUCCCUCUCCAGAUACCUCCUUUCCAUUUCAAGAACAGCUUACCUGAAACCCUACCUGGCACCUUGCUUCUCCCGCCCAAAGGACAUGGUUCGAAUGGUAAGAAAUGCAGACGGAGUGGAAGGAACGCGAGGCACUAUGACAGAUGUGGCAUUUUUAGAGGGGAAGGUCUUUGAGGACCCGUGUUUUCAACCACCUUCAUCUUCUGACCUUAGGUCAAAAAGGUAAUCAAGAAAUUGUCACUGUAAAGAUUAACUACGACAGGUCCAAAUUUUCUCGGGUCCUUGAUCCUUACAUACCUGCAUUAAUCUUCACUGCUUACUUUCAUGACCUGAGCCAAAACAGCAAUUUCAGAAUAUAGAGAAUCAGCGUGAGUUCUGGUGGGAAAGCCAGACAAUGCUCUCUUACGCAGCUGUAUACUAGUCACUUCUAGUGAUCGGAUCCCAAUAUGGAUCCACAUUGAAUGCCAUCUUAAUGAUUAUGUUUUUCCCUGGUGUAUAAGAAAAUGGGAAAUACUUAACGUAUCUAGAUUUAAUCAUUUUAAUUUUCGAACGCCUAAUUACUUUUCACCCAUUAAGAUGGCUUUGGACUAGAAUUUGCCCUUACUGCUACAUCAAUACAGGAUCCUGCCUGCCUUUCAGUAGAAAUUCGUGUAUAUUCACUUUUUGACAACAAAUUAAUAGUUUCCAAAUAUUUGCACAUUUCAGGAUGAAUCAACUCAUGAUGGCUUAGUUAUGAAAUUCAACCACGUGACUCUUUUAAAAGAAAACUUUAUGGCAUGCAGUUCUUCUGGUAUGCAAAAAUUAAGUAGUUGGUACUGGGAAUAAGAAAAAUGGGGAAAUGUAGAGAUAUAUAAAAUUAUGGAAGGAUAUGUCAUGAUUCAUUAUGAGAAGAGAUCCUUAGUGACAAACUUGGGAUAUAUUCUGCUCUGAAUACAUAGCUGAUAACGUCUUUCCUGGCAAAUGAGUAAGGUAAGAAUGAAAGGAUCAGGGCGUGCCUGGCUGGCUCAGUUGAUAGAGCAUGCGACUCUUGAUCUCAGAGUCGUGAGUUUGAGCCCCAACUUGGGUGCAGAGUUUACUUUAAAAAAAAAAAAAAAGUAUAUACUGAAAUGACAUGGCCCUCCUCCAGAAAAAAAAAAGAAAAAAAGUCAUUCUCAGAAAAAGCAUAAGUUAAGGAAAAAUUUCCCAGAUUGCACCCUUCAGAGACACCUCUGGUAAUGCCUUACCAGAGAGGAAAACCAGGCCUGCCAGUAUUAUUAUUAUUUAUCUAGUACAUAUCCAGGACUUCAUCUUGGUAGAUUUUUUAUCCAAGGUGAGAAGGGAUGGUUUUGACAAUGACUGAGUAACAAAUUCUCCAAAGUACUAGAUUUAGCCUGGAACCUAUAUCAUUAUUCAAAAGAUGUUCAGUGGUAAAGCUUAUCUUGACAAUGGAUGUGGGCCUGAAAGUAUUGUGGAGUGAGGGAGUUUGAGGUAGGUUUUCAGAACGACCCUAGUGAAGACUCUAUUUUGAGUGAGCCGUAUAAAUUGCUCUUGUAUCGCUAUACAUUGGAAAUCAUGCUUGUCGCAUUCUUAUCAAAUGCUUAGCAGCUGGGGGCUGUCGAUGGCUGGGUCUAUCACUGUGUCUAAUUCUUCUCCUGCCAGUGGGGUGACUAUACUGGUGCCAGAAAGGGCCACUUCACUCCUCAUUGCCUCAUGACAGCAUCUUCUGCCCAGUGUCUUGGCUAUUAGACUAACCUUUGUUGUCUGUGGUCACUAGUUUCCACUCAGACACGGAGCAAUUCUGGAAAACGGUGGAAGGCAAAAAACUUCAGUUGUUGGUUAAUUUGGUUAAGAAGCCUGGUCAAAAACACUGGAAGUGAGCAUCACUUCCACACUAAUGGGCCAUCUGGCCAAUCGAACAUCUAAAAGUCUACUGAAUAUACUUCUUAGGCCAUUCUAAGAUAUUUUCUCCUUUAUUCUGUAUACUGGGGUUAAUGUUUUUCACCUCUCCUUAUGUUUUAAGUGAGAUUUCAGACUGUGUAGUGUAGUUAGACAAACUGUGCCUGAGAAGUCUGUCUAGAUACACAAUAGCACAGUUUGUGUUUGAGCACUGAGAACAAAAGACCUAUGUGACCCUUUUCACUUCGGCAUACUUUUCAAGUUUGAACCAAUUAAAAAAAAAAAAGAUGUUAGAAUGUUUACUAUAGUGUAGCACAUUGUGAACAACUGGUCACUUUUCUGAGCACUGUAGUCAAGCAAUCUGUUAAAAAAAAAAAAGAUGAAAGAGAAAAAAAUCCAAUUAUUAUACUACAUGUAUUUUAAUACCUGUGAUCAGAUGUCACCUUUAAAGAAUAGGAGAAAAAUUUAUGGGUAGAACAAGAUGCAAACAAUUUACCUUAAAUUUGAAUUAGACAUAACUCUUUAAGAAAGGGUUGAAUUAUAUUGGUUGGAGAGGAACCAACAUUGGGAUAUUAACAUGCAUUGAGUAUUUACUGUAUCUAAGGCACUGUGGAUAGGGGGAAAAGUUAUUUUUAUAAUCUUUAUUGACCGAAAAUCUGUAAAAAUGAAUUAAAAUCCUGAAUUGGCAUCACUGUUUAGGGCUCUUCAUCCUUAAGUUAAUUCAUCUCAAAAAACAGCAAAGUUAAGAAAAAAAAUUACUAUCAGUAAGAAUGAUAUAUUUCCUUGGUUUGGAAAUUUCCAAACCACGGUAUUCUGCUCUGUCAAAAUACAUUCAUUGGGGAAUUUUUAACUUUUAUACAUUUCUUUUGAACUUAAUCACAGUUUUACAUCUAGCUGGUUUCAUGAUGAAAUAAAGGAGAAGGUGAUUCCCCUCUUGCACAGAAGAGACCACAUGCUUGAAUGGUACUCUAACUUCUAGGUUCUGCUAUAGUAACACCGAAACCAGAAGCUUGUGGGAGAAAUGUCACUUUAUCUGAGAGAGUAAAAUCAGACUCCAACAGGAAGUAGCAAAUUCAUCUUUGUCUUUUUUUAAUCCACUCCUUGCUGAAGACAAGAAGUUUGAGAAACAGCACUUUUAAGUCAUACUUCCUUUACGUAGAUCAAAAACCAAAGCCACCGGGUAGCGCUUUGGCCACAGGAAUCUCUAAAUAGCAGAUGGGGCCAUUUUAUGAUGGAUUCAUUUAUAGGAGAGAUCCCCACUGCGUGCACCAUAUCUCUUGGAAAAAAUAAAGGUAAAGCCUCAAGUGUUUACCACGAAUACAAUUCUAGCCUGAACUCAACCUUUACAAAUUAGGCUAAUUCGGUUUUAAUUCUUACAAAUCAGAAAGUACUAUGUUGAAUAUUUUGGCCGUUUACUUAAAUCAUCUAGUUCCCAGGUAAAACAUAAAUCAAAAAAGAUAGUACUAUCAGAAUUCAGAAUCCCCUGUUUGCAUUUUAGCAUUUGGCAACUUUUGAAGAGUUGUUUUGUUUUGUUUCAAAAGAAGAUGAUACCUGUGCAUAAACAAUUCACAACUACAGAAUAGAAUUUAAAACAUAUUUUUUUAGACAGAGAGAGAGAGAGAGAAAGCAGGGGGCGGGCAAAGGGAGAGAGAGACACACAGAGAGAGAGAGAGAAUCCUAAGCAGGCUCCAUACUCAGUGUGGAACCCACCGCCCUGGAUUCAUGACCUGAGCCAAAAUCAAGAGUCAGAUGCUCAACCAACUAGGCUACCCAGGCACCCCAAACCAUAAAUUUACAAAUAGUCUUCCAGUAGACCUAAAGGUAAAAAUGUCUUGUGAUGGCCAAUUUCUCUAGCCUUUCCAACAAAUUACUUGCGAGGAUUUCAUGAGCUAACUCUCUCCCUUGAAAAGAAAAUAAAGGCCAUUUUUGCUCUCAGACUUAUAUUCCCUCACUCCAGCUUUAGAACUGCAUGUGCACACACAACCAUUUCUCUCUCUCUUGCAGGUGGCGCAGACCAGGAAGGGGAAAUCUGUGGUUUAAAUUCUUUAUGCCUCAUCCCCUGAAUGCUCGAGGCUUGCUGUAGGCUGUAUGCUGUUAAUGCUAAUCGUGAUAGGGGUUUUUACCUCCGACUGACUCCUACAUGUUAGCAUUAACAGGGUAUGAUGCCUGUUACUAGCAUUCGCAUGGAACAAAUUGCUGCCGUGGGAGGACGACAAAGAAGCAUGAGUCACCCCGCUGGAUAAACUUAAGACUUCAAGCUGUCUUAUUUUCUGUUAAUCAUGAUCUGGUCACCAGGACGUUCCUGCCACCUUAAAUUAAGUUUUAAGAGAGUAACGUCAUUUAAAAGAUUGAUCAGCAGCAUUCUGAACGCAAGCAUUUAUACUUCAAUCCUCAAGUCCCCAUUUUUGUAUCUUUUAGUGGAAAACGUAUUCGUGUCAUUUUUUAAUUCAGAGUUAUGGUUUAUUCAUCGUAACUGUCCAUAAGUACUUUUCAUAACUGCCCUGGAAGAAAUAUGGACUAAACCCAUUCUGCAAGAAAUUUCUAGAAUAUCUUUGUAGUUAAAACUUAGAAGGACUGCUCCUCUCCAGUUACAUCAUGGAUGGUCUGGCAACAUUUUUAAACAGAAAAGUUGGUAUUAUUUUCCCCCUUGCUUAACAAUUUUCUUUUUUUUUAAUUUUUUUUUCAUAUUUAUUUGUAAGAGAGAGAGAGAGAGCAGGAGUUGGGGAGGAGCAGAGAGAGACAGAGACAGAAUGUGAAGCAGUCUCUAGGCUCUGAGCUGUCAGCACAGAGCCCAACUCGGGGCUCGAACUCACGAACCGUGAGAUCGUGACCUGAGCCAAAGUCAGACGCUUAACCUACUAAGCCACCUAGGUGCCCCGACAAUUUUCUAUUCACAACUUUAAAGUUAGCACGUUAAAAAAAUUUUUUUAAUAAAGGUAGGACUUCUGUUUGAAACUUAAGAGGGAAUGGAAAGGCUGUGACCAUGAAUUUUUUUUUAAUGAAAUAUUUUUAAAAAAUGAAAUAUUUUCCCAAUCUGCAUGGUAAAUGAUGUCUGAGAGACAACCCCUGUCUUUUCCCUACAAGACACAAAGACUUAAUUUUAAAAAUUUCGUAUUUGAAAUUAAGUCCCAAAUCUAGGUUCAAGCAUAAUAGUUUGGCCACAUAAUAAUGUCGUGGGGUCAGAGAAUCCACUUUUCCUCUCUAAGCCUGUUUUUUUACCCACAGAAUGCAGCUGACACUUCACAAGGUUGGUGUGAGUCUUACAUGGAAUAGAGAACUAUUUUGAAAAAGACGAAGCAUUACAUUAAUGUUACAGUAAAAUUAAUCCAAGAACUAGUCCCCCACCUUCCCGACUUUGUUAGAGAAAAGCUAAUGAUUUAAUUUACAGAUUUUUUCAGGUUUGGAUUUCCAUGCAGUUUUUCCCCAUAAUUGACUAUAUCAUUUACAAAUAAAUAGUUAAUUGUAAUUGUGAGCCUAUUGAAUGUAUACUGGUAUUAGCGACUUCUCAACAUUUUGUCAAACAGUUAUGCACUGUAACCAAAUAAAUCUCUUUUAGCCCUUAGUUGAUUUAAAAUCA
rnacentral:lncRNA from 1 species